GAUGAACGCUGGCGGCGUGCCUAAUACAUGCAAGUCGAGCGAACAGACGAGGAGCUUGUUCUUCUGACGUUAGCGGCGGACGGGUGAGUAACACGUGGAUCCCCUACCUAUAAGACUGGGCUAACUUCGGGAACCCGGAGCUCAUACCGGAUAAUAUAUUGAACCGCAUGGUUCAAUAGUGAAACACGGUUUUGCUGUGCCUUAUAGAUGGACCCGAGCCGCCUUAGCUAGUUGGUAAGGUAACGGCUUACCAAGGCAACGAUGCAUAGCCGACCAGAGAGAGGGAUCGUCCACACUGGAACUGAGACACGGGCCAGACUCCGACGGGAAGCAGCAGUAGGGAAUCAUCCGCAAUGGGCGUAAGCCAGACGGAGCAACGCGGCGAGAGUUAUGAAGGUCUUCGGAUCGUAAGACACUGGUAUUAGGGAAGAACAAAUGUGUAAGUAGCAAUACACGUCUUGACGGUACCUAAGCAGAAAGCCACGGCUAACUACGUG
rnacentral:rRNA from 1 species